AGCAUAUCAAUAAGCGGAGGAAAAGAAACCAACAGGGAUUGCCUCAGUAGCGGCGAGUGAAGCGGCAAGAGCUCAGAUUUGAAAUCGUGCUUUGCGGCACGAGUUGUAGAUUGCAGGUUGGAGUCUGUGUGGAAGGCGGUGUCCAAGUCCCUUGGAACAGGGCGCCCAGGAGGGUGAGAGCCCCGUGGGAUGCCGGCGGAAGCAGUGAGGCCCUUCUGACGAGUCGAGUUGUUUGGGAAUGCAGCUCCAAGCGGGUGGUAAAUUCCAUCUAAGGCUAAAUACUGGCGAGAGACCGAUAGCGAACAAGUACUGUGAAGGAAAGAUGAAAAGCACUUUGAAAAGAGAGUGAAACAGCACGUGAAAUUGUUGAAAGGGAAGGGUAUUGCGCCCGACAUGGGGAUUGCGCACCGCUGCCUCUCGUGGGCGGCGCUCUGGGCUUUCCCUGGGCCAGCAUCGGUUCUUGCUGCAGGAGAAGGGGUUCUGGAACGUGGCUCUUCGGAGUGUUAUAGCCAGGGCCAGAUGCUGCGUGCGGGGACCGAGGACUGCGGCCGUGUAGUCACGGA
rnacentral:rRNA from 1 species